ACUCCCUCUGUGUGUGUUGUGACCCGAGCGUCUCCGUUCUUUGUGUUGAUAGCCGGUCAGGCUGCGCAUGCAUGUUAGAACAUGUGGCGUUUAGAAAACGC